GAUGAAGAACGCAGUGAAAUGCGAUACGUAAUGUGAAUUGCAGAAUUCAGUGAAUCAUCGAGUCUUUGAACGCACAUUGCGCCCCCUGGUAUUCCGGGGGGCAUGCCUGUCCGAGCGUCAUUGCUGCCCUCAAGCACGGCUUGUGUGUUGGGCCUCCGUCCUCCUCCCGGGGGACGGGCCCGAUAGGCAGCGGCGGCACCGCGUCCGGUCCUCGAGCGUAUGGGGCUUCGUCACCCGCUCUUGUAGGCCCGGCCGGCGCUUGCCGACACAUCAAUCUUUUUUCCAGGUUGACCUCGGAUCAGGUAGGGAUACCCGCUGAACUUAAGCAUAUCAAUAAGCGGAGGA
rnacentral:misc_RNA from 1 species